rnacentral:rRNA from 1 species
GACAGAGGGUGCGAGCGUUGUUCGGAAUUACUGGGCGUAAAGCGCGCGCAGGCGGAUCCUGCAAGUCGGAAGUGAAAUGUGGCUGCUCAACGGCCACGCUGCUUCCGAUACUGCGGAUCUGGGGACCGGUAGAGGCUGGUGGAAUUGCAGGUGUAGCGGUGGAAUGCGUAGAUAUCGGGAGGAACAUCGAUGGCGAAGGCAAUCACCUGGGCCUGAACUGACACUGAGACACGAAAGCGUGGGUAGCAAACAGG